GAUGAACGCUGGCGGCGUGCCUAAUACAUGCAAGUCGAGCGAACGGACGAGAAGCUUGCUUCUCUGAUGUUAGCGGCGGACGGGUGAGUAACACGUGGAUAACCUACCUAUAAGACUGGGAUAACUUCGGGAAACCGGAGCUAAUACCGGAUAAUAUUUUGAACCGCAUGGUUCAAAAGUGAAAGACGGUCUUGCUGUCACUUAUAGAUGGAUCCGCGCUGCAUUAGCUAGUUGGUAAGGUAGCGGCUUACCAAGGCAACGAUGCAUAGCCGACCUGAGAGGGUGAUCGGCCACACUAGAACUGAGACACGGUCCAGACUCCUACGGGAGGCAGCAGUAGGGAAUCUUCCGCAAUGGGCGAAAGCCUGACGGAGCAACGCCGCGUGAGUGAUGAAGGUCUUCGGAUCGUAAAACUCUGUUAUUAGGGAAGAACAUAUGUGUAAGUAACUGUGCACAUCUUGACGGUACCUAAUCAGAAAGCCACGGCUAACUACGU
rnacentral:rRNA from 1 species